UACGGAGGGGGCUAGCGUUGUUCGGAAUUACUGGGCGUAAAGCGCACGUAGGCGGCUUUGUAAGUUAGAGGUGAAAGCCCGGGGCUCAACUCCGGAACUGCCUUUGAUACUGGCAAUCUUGAGGCUGGAAGAGGUUGGUAGAAUUCCCAGUGUAGAGGUGAAAUUCGUAGAUAUUGGGAAGAAUACCAGUGGCGAAGGCGGCCAACUGGUCCAGAUCUGACGCUGAGGUGCGAAAGCGUGGGGAGCAAACAGG
rnacentral:rRNA from 1 species